rnacentral:tRNA from 1 species
GGGGCCGUGGCUCAGUGAUAGAGCAUUGGCUUGGCAUGCAGACGGCCUGAGGUUCAACCCCCAGCAGCUCCA